GAGAUGUUAGUAAAAUAAUUACAUAGCCUUGUCAAGACUAAAUUGCAGGUGAAAACCCGGCACAUCUCC
rnacentral:tRNA from 1 species